CCCUCCCCCAGAUUCCCGGCGCCCCGCCUUCCCUGAAGCUCAUAAAAGCGCAGGUCCCCCGCCUGGGCAGCCACUGGACACCUGCAACUGCCUACAGGACUGAAAGGUGAGGCACACAGGGCUGGACGAAGCUGCGUGGGGGGAGGGGGUGGUCUGGGGGACCCGGGUUCCUGUGAAUGGGGCUGGUUUGCAGGUCAGGGCAUGGACAUUUUCCUAAUAGGCGACGAAGACUGUGAAGUUUGACGGUCUGGAAAGCAGAGGCCAGCCGCGCUGACUAUCUGGGAGGUAAGUUCUGGAAACAUGCCACGAGGUGGGGUGCAGGUAUAAGUCCUAGUUAAGACCUCUCCGUGUCUCCCCUACCUAGCGCCGGAAAGCGCGCCUGGAAGAAGAGUGGAGGGGGAAAAAACUGUGCUGGUUCCCAAGAGAGAGAAGAACAGAGGGGAUUGGAGUGACCUGGGGAGGAGAGGAAAGCAAAUCAAGUUUCUUCAGCGCCGAGGCGGAGAACAGCUCUCCGAAGACCACGGAAGGAAAUUGCUAUUUAUUUCAGCACCUAGACUCCGGACAGCGCCGCUCGGGGUCCAGGAAGCAAGCCACAACCUGCUUCAGCACCAGAGCUCCGGACAGCUCCUAGGGAUUUCGGGGCCGACUUCAUUUCAGAACCAGGACGCUGGAUAGCUUCCCUGGUAGCGGGAAGUCCUUGUACUCACAAGGAGGCGGGGCUGGGUGCGGGGGGGCGGAGGGGGCGGCGGGGGGCGGCGGGUAGCGGGGUGUGGGGGGGUGAGGGGGGUGGAGGGGGUUGAGGGGGGUGGGGGGUGGGGGUGGGGGGGUGGUACAGAGGGUGGUCUGAAGUGUCUGACGUUUCUGGAGACUUGUUCUUCAUUUAAUGAAUCUCUCAACGAAUUAUUUUUCAGACAAGCAGGUGAGAUACAAGUGCACACACAAAAAAAUCUAAUUUACAACAGCUGGCUGGGAGUUGGGCCUUUGGGGAUCAGACCCUGCCUCUCUCCAGGAGGACCAGAAAUGGAUACCAGAAGACAGUGGAUAACAGGUGUCUUGGCUUAGCUCAGGUGAGGGGAGAUAACUCGGUGGGGAUCUAAGACAUGGGGCAGACGGUGGCGAAGAAGACUGGAGCGGUUGUGGUCUAGUGCUGUGUGGAAGACUAGUGAUUUUGUUGUUCUGAUGUACUAUGACAACAAGUCACAGCUUCCUCAUAGCGUGGACUCCCGUCGACCUCCUUCCAAGAUGAACAAGGAAGUGUUGGGGGUGGGGACUCACGGAGGAAUCACUUCCACCCAGGGGUUGGGCUAAUACCAUGGAACAAGGGCAGGG
rnacentral:lncRNA from 1 species